rnacentral:rRNA from 1 species
AACGUAGGACACGAGCGUUAUCCGGAGUUACUGGGCGUAAAGGGCGGGUAGGUGGUGCGAUAAGACUGGUGUGAAAGCCUUCGGCUUAACCGAGGGAGGACACUGGUGACUGUCGGACUUGAGGCAGAUAGAGGGGUGUAGAAUUCCGGGUGUAGUGGUGAAAUGCGUAGAGAUCCGGAGGAAUACCAGAGGCGAAGGCGGCACCCUGGGUCUGACCUGACACUGAUCCGCGAAAGCAUGGGGAGCGAACGGG